rnacentral:pre_miRNA from 1 species
CUAGUACUCCCUCCGUCCGGAAAUACUUGUCAUCAAAAUGGAUAAAAGGGGAUGUAUCUAGACGUAUUUUAGUUCUAGAUACAUCUCUUUUUAUCCAUUUUGAUGACAAGUAUUUUCGGACGGAGGGAGUACAUU